UUAACUAUUGUAUAGUACUCAGACGACACUAAUAUUCAGAAUUUUAGGUCCUCUGGCGGGCGCUUACCAGCCGGAGCCAGUAGCCGGGCGUGAGCCUGACGGCCCGCCAAAGCAACAAAGUGAUAAUAACAUAGGGUGGGAGAUCUACCCGUAAGGGCAUGAACUCUGUAAUGAUCCCUCCGCAGGUUCACCUACGGAGA
rnacentral:misc_RNA from 1 species